rnacentral:rRNA from 1 species
UACAGAGGGUGCAAGCGUUGUUCGGAAUUAUUGGGCGUAAAGGGAGUGUAGGCGGCCAUUUAAGUCUUCUGUGAAAUUUACGAGCUUAACUUGUAACGUGCAGAGGAUACUGGGGUGGCUUGAGUGUCGGAGAGGAUAGUGGAAUUCCCGGUGUAGAGGUGAAAUUCGUAGAGAUCGGGAGGAACACCAGUGGCGAAGGCGGUCUGCUGGGCCAAGACUGACGCUGAGGCGCGACAGCGUGGGGAGCAAACAGG